CUCCUCAUCUGUAAAACAGAGAUAGUCAACAAAUGUAGUUUAGGGGCGCCUGGUGGCUCAGUCGGCUAAAUGUCUGGCUCUUGGUUUUGGCCCAGGUCAUGAUCUCUUGGUUUUGUGAGUUCAAGCCCAGGGUCAGUCUCUGUGUUGACAGCACAGAGCCUGCUUGGGAUUUUCUCUCUCUUUGCCCCUCCCCUCCUUGUGCUGCUCUCGGUCUCUCUCAAAAUAAAUAAACUUAAAAAAAAAAAAAAAAGAAUCCAGUUACAGAUUUCUCGUAAGGACUGGAAGAAGAGAUCAACCUUGCCCGGUACUUAGUAUUCCAUCUCACUAUAUAUCAUAAUGAUCAUCAAAGAUCUACUUUGCGUAUUUAAAUAAUAAAAUUUGCUCUUAACUAUACAUGAUUUGCCAAAAAGUCAUUGUCUCUCUGUCUUUUUCUCCAUUCCCUCCCUAGCUAUUUCCUAGCAUUGAAGAAUUUACGUGGAAAGUCAAGAGCGUCUCAUUUCCUAGAACUAAAGUAAGUACGUCCCCUACUAGGUUCCUGCUCACACAGUCUCAGAAGACCCUCUCCCGAAAUCCCACCAGACCUUCUCCCAGGAUGACCUAAAUGCAGACAGUCAGCUGGUACUCCAGGUUCCAAUCAGGGAAAACAACCGUACAACCUUCUACGGUAGCUUCUAGAAGGCAGCCAGUCUCCUUAUGAGCUUCUCUUUCACGGCGCCUAGAACCCAGCUCUCGUGGCAAGUACGCAGGCCAGGAAGGCAAAAAGGAAGUGCAAGACACCAUCGCACCUAGAUUCCAGAAAGCUUUCGCUCCGUUUGGAUCAACUUGAGAGGAUGCGCUAAUAAACAGGGUUUCCAGAGAUCCUGGGAAGCAGCCCGGAGACCGGAGCCGGGGCACCUGGUGGGAGCUUCAGCGCACCUUCCUCCCUGGAACAGCGCUGUCACUUGGCACCGUUGUCCUGGCAAGUCAGCCCUGUUCACAGUCCCUCUGACUGGUCAGCCCUGUCCUUCCAGAUACGCCUUUCUGACAUCUUGCCUCCACGGUGCUGCCUUGCUGGAGGGGGGGUUCUCACCUGGGCCGUCACAGGGUCCAGCCUUCAAUCAGGAUGCUCCCCAGGUAUUUCCAAAUCACCAGGAGGAAUGUGGGCUGUGCUCCAGGCUGAUUCCUCCCACCCUCCCUCCCGUUCUUUCCUCUCUCCCUUCCUGUCUUCCUUCCUUUCCACUGUCCUUUCUACCUUCCUGCCCCUUAUUUAUUGACUUCCUGCUAUAUGCGGGGCACUAAGAGUUUGUUAAUUACCUGGGGGUUAGGCUGAGCUCUUAGAUUUGAAGAUGAGGGAAACAGUGUUGAAAGCACCUAAAGGAGAAGAAAAUUUAUGGGGUGUGUGUUGCAUAAAUGCCCUUCGCUAAUCAGAAAGAUUGUGAAAUGAUUUGGACUUGAAUAAGUCGACGAAGGGGGCAGAGGGGCAAACGGCAAAGCUCGGAGACAGUAGGUGCAGAAAGAGUGAUAGCGCAAAAAUAAAUCCGCAGUGCAUAUCAAAUGAAUUUGUGCAGUGCUCCUCCUGUUCAUCCCGACCUGGGCCGGCGGCAAGGGGAACCGAGAGAAAAGUGGAAAAGAUGCUCUGGGGAGGCGUCUUGCUUCGGAGCUGCUGACCGAUACACUACGCGUGGAUUCCCCGGGGAUUUCCAGGCGGGUGGCUGUGGAACAGGCAGAGGUUUAGUGGUUUCCCAGGAAGGAAUAAAUUUCCUGCAGUGAAUCACCCUGUGUCAAGGAGGAUUUUUGUGACAUCAGCUCCAAGCAGAACAUCGAGGCUUUCCCACUCAAGAGGGCAUUGGAGCAUAACACCACCAUGGCCCACACUUUAUUUUUUCUUUCUUGUAUUUUCCAAAGGGCCAUUUGGACCAAAAGUGGCCUGUGGCCCCUGGAAACUCUGAGUAACGGCUUGGCAUCUUCGGAAUCUGUCUGUCGUGCUUUGUGGAAGAGUCUGGAAAGGUCUAGUUCUGUCUGGAAAACAAAACUCACGGUUGUUAAUGUGAAAGUGUAACCCUGCUUCUUCCUUUUCUUCUAAUAAAUGCUGCAAACUUGAAAUAAAAUGAAUUAGACCCCUUGGA